rnacentral:rRNA from 1 species
AUAACUGCAGACGGUGGAUCGCUC